rnacentral:ncRNA from 1 species
UCUCUGACUGUUAUACAGUGAUUUUGGACUACGCUAAUAGUCUAAGUCCUUUAAUGGACUACGUUAUUUUGGUCAAGACACCUAUGGAUAUUCCUCAAGUCUGUAGUUCUGUCGCUAGUGAUUAAACAAUCCUUAGAGUCGUGGGAUAGUGUGACUAGCUGAACAAGCCCUCGUAACCUUGACGGAGAGGAUCAACAUGUUUUGUGU